rnacentral:piRNA from 1 species
UCAACAGCUGUGCUGGUUGGUGAAUGAUG